AUUGAACGCUGGCGGCAGGCCUAACACAUGCAAGUCGAGCGGCGAGGCGGACGGGGGAGUAAUGCCUAGUGAUCUGCCUGGUAGUGGGGGAUAACGUCCGGAAACGGGCGCUAAUACCACAUGCUAUCAGAUCAGCCUAGGGCGUAUUAGCUAGUUGGUGGGGUAAAGGCCUACCAAGGCGACGAUCAGUAACUGGUCUGAGAGGAUUAUCAGUCACACUGGAACUGAGACACGGCCCAGACUCCUACGGGAGGCAGCAGUGGGGAAUAUUGGACAAUGGGCGAAAGCCUGAUCCAGCCAUGCCGCGUGUGUGAAGAAGGUCUUCGGAUCGUAAAGCACUUUAAGUUGGGAGGCGUUACCAACAGAGUAAGCAACGGCUAACUUCGUGCCAGCAGCCGCGGUAAUUC
rnacentral:rRNA from 1 species